GAUCAUGGCUCAGGAUGAACGCUAGCGGCAGGCUUAACACAUGCAAGUCGAGGGGCAGCAUAAUGGAUAGCAAUAUCUAUGGUGGCGACCGGCGCACGGGUGCGUAACGCGUAUGCAACCUACCUUUAACAGGGGGAUAACACUGAGAAAUUGGUACUAAUACCCCCAUAAUAUCAUAGAAGGCAUCUUUUAUGGUUGAAAACUCCGGUGGUUAAAGAUGGGCAUGCGUUGUAUUAG
rnacentral:rRNA from 1 species